rnacentral:ribozyme from 1 species
GCGUGAGAGGAGAGAAAACAACAACAACAACAACAACAAAAGCGAAAAAGGUCCCACGUCCUCGUUUCCCUCUUCUCUCUUUGUUUUUUGUUGUCCCUUCACUUUGCCCUUCGU